GACCUGAUGGUGUAGUGGUAACACACCUGCUGAAUUUAUGAUAUAGCCUGUAUUCUAUAAGCAGGAGGCUCUGGUUUGAACCCGGGUCAGGUCA